UCUGUCGCGAACGCAUUGUGGAUUGUCAAGUAUUACUCAAGUCAGUCUUUUGGAUAAGUCUGGCCUUACCAAGGCAGUGAAGGAGAGUACAAUUACAUUGCAGCAGGCAGAGUAUGAAUUUCUGUCCUUUGUACGACAGCAGACUCCUCCAGGGCUCUGUCCACUUGCAGGAAAUUCAGUUCAUGAAGAUAAGAAGUUUCUUGACAAAUACAUGCCCCAGUUCAUGAAACAUCUUCAUUAUAGAAUAAUUGAUGUGAGCACUGUUAAAGAACUGUGCAGACGCUGGUAUCCAGAAGAAUAUGAAUUUGCACCAAAGAAGGCUGCUUCUCAUAGGGCACUUGAUGACAUUAGUGAAAGCAUCAAAGAGCUUCAGUUUUACCGAAAUAACAUCUUCAAGAAAAAAAUAGAUGAAAAGAAGAGGAAAAUUAUAGAAAAUGGGGAAAAUGAGAAGACCGUGAGUUGAUGCCAGUUAUCAUGCUGCCACUACAUCGUUAUCUGGAGGCAACUUCUGGUGGUUUUUUUUUCUCACGCUGAUGGCUUGGCAGAGCACCUUCGGUUAACUUGCAUCUCCAGAUUGAUUACUCAAGCAGACAGCACACGAAAUACUAUUUUUCUCCUAAUAUGCUGUUUCCAUUAUGACACAGCAGCUCCUUUGUAAGUACCAGGUCAUGUCCAUCCCUUGGUACAUAUAUGCAUUUGCUUUUAAACCAUUUCUUUUGUUUAAAUAAAUAAAUAAGUAAAUAAAGCUAGUUC
rnacentral:lncRNA from 1 species